rnacentral:hammerhead_ribozyme from 1 species
GCACUGCUGAGGAGUCCCAAAAUAGGACGAAACGGCCGUCCACUGC